rnacentral:rRNA from 1 species
UUCCAGACUCCUACGGGAGGCAGCAGUGGGGAAUAUUGGGCAAUGGGCGCAAGCCUGACCCAGCAACGCCGCGUGAAGGAAGAAGGCUUUCGGGUUGUAAACUUCUUUUAAGAGGGAAGAGUAGAAGACGGUACCUCUUGAAUAAGCCACGGCUAACUACGUGCCAGCAGCCGCGGUAAUACGUAGGUGGCAAGCGUUGUCCGGAUUUACUGGGUGUAAAGGGCGUGUAGCCGGGCUGACAAGUCAGAUGUGAAAUCCGGGGGCUCAACCCCCGAACUGCAUUUGAAACUGUUGGUCCUGAGUAUCGGAGAGGCAGGCGGAAUUCCUAGUGUAGCGGUGAAAUGCGUAGAUAUUAGGAGGAACACCAGUGGCGAAGGCGGCCUGCUGGACGACAACUGACGGUGAGGCGCGAAAGCGUGGGUAUCGAACAGGAUUAGAUACCCCAGUAG